ensembl:snRNA U4 U4 spliceosomal RNA
AGCUUUUUGCAGUGGCAGUAUGGUAGCCAAUGAUGUUUAUCCGAGGUGCAAUUAUUGCUAAUUGAAAACUUUCCCAAUACCCACCAUGGUGCCUUGAAAUAUAGUCAGCGUUGGCAGUUUUUGACAGUCUCUAUGGAGA